UAUGAGCCUUAUGUCCAUUCCUUUAGC
rnacentral:piRNA from 1 species